rnacentral:rRNA from 1 species
GCAGACGGGUGAGUAACGCGUGGGGAUCUGCCCUUUGGUACGGAAUAACCCAGGGAAACUUGGACUAAUACCGUAUGUGCCCUUCGGGGGAAAGAUUUAUCGCCAAAGGAUGAACCCGCGUCUGAUUAGCUAGUUGGUGGGGUAAUGGCCCACCAAGGCGACGAUCAGUAGCUGGUCUGAGAGGAUGAUCAGCCACACUGGGACUGAGACACGGCCCAGACUCCUACGGGAGGCAGCAGUGGGGAAUAUUGGACAAUGGGCGAAAGCCUGAUCCAGCCAUGCCGCGUGAGUGAUGAAGGCCUUAGGGUUGUAAAGCUCUUUCGCCGGUGAAGAUAAUGACGGUAACCGGAGAAGAAGCCCCGGCUAACUUCGUGCCAGCAGCCGCGGUAAUACGAAGGGGGCUAGCGUUGCUCGGAAUCACUGGGCGUAAAGCGCACGUAGGCGGAUCGUUAAGUCAGGGGUGAAAUCCUGGAGCUCAACUCCAGAACUGCCCUUGAUACUGGCGAUCUCGAGUUCGAGAGAGGUUGGUGGAACUCCGAGUGUAGAGGUGAAAUUCGUAGAUAUUCGGAAGAACACCAGUGGCGAAGGCGGCCAACUGGCUCGAUACUGACGCUGAGGUGCGAAAGCGUGGGGGAGCAAACAGGAUUAGAUACCCUGGGUAGUCCACGCCGUAAACGAUGGAUGCUAGCCGUUUGGGGGGGUUUACCUCUCAGUGGCGCAGCUGACGCCUUAGGCAUCCCGCCUGGGGAGUACGGGUCGCAAGAUUAAAACUCAAAGGAUUGACGGGGGCGCCGCACAGC